rnacentral:pre_miRNA from 1 species
GAGAUUGGCUCAUCUGCGCGUUAAGUAGUUGCGCCGAAGGCGAUGAUCGAGAAAAUUCACCUCGGUGCGCUACUUGUCACGUGGUUCGAGUGCGCUCGCCGAUGCGUGAAGU